AUCCAGAAUACAGUGAUGCUUAUUAUCCAAGCACAUAACUGACAUUAUUGUGCGGAAACAACUUAUUCUGAGUGCUCUGGAU